CUUAGUAUUGACUAUGCGCGUUCAUCUCCUCGAUCGUUGGACAGCUCGUUGGAAACGGCGUAAAGGAUGACCUCCGAGCUGCUUCGUCUGAAAUACCGAUCUCCCAUGUUUCCCUUCGAUUUUCCAUACGAAGUGCACAAUCCAUCGCCGAGCUUUUGCUACAUCUCUCUAUAGCAUGAGGCCAUUCCACGUAUUUCAAGGGGCAACAAGAAACAACAUACGACAUGACGCGACGUGACGCGAUGCGAAGAAUCGAAACGAGACGUGAAAGACGUGACGAGAGGAGAGGAGAGGAGAGAAGAGGAGAAGAGAAGAGAAGAGAAGAGAAGCCGAGAGAAGCGAAGAGAGGCGGAAAGAAGCGAAGAGAUGUGAAGAGAAGCGAAGAGAAGAGAAGAGAAGAGAAGGGAGGAGAAGAGGAGGAGACUAUAGGAUAGGUGGAAGUUCGAUUCAGGGCGAAAGGGAAGGAUUAAUGGCGCAGGCGGGACACACCGCGGCCAUAAAUCGCCGCACGGCCAGGAAUUACCGGCUCGCAACUUGCGAAAUAUGACGGUCUCAUAAAUCCGAGUCCACUAGCCCGCGCGCCUCCAUCGACUACGUCGACUAGUCCCGCUUCCAGUCUCGCGUCGGUAUAUUGCGAUCUCUCUUCUACUUCUAACUCGCGGCCUAACGUCAUCUUCGUUCGCUCGCGCUCGCGGGAGAAUACACCGUGCACCCUGUGUAUACGUUUCAGCUCGGCGUGCAACGGCCAUUUAUAACUUGCGCGCCUGGAAAAGCGAGGUCCAUAACCUAAUACGUUCGUUCCGCUCGCCGAGGGGAGGCGAGAAAGGAGUUAAACAAAGAACGGGGCACGCCGAUUUAAAGGACGGGGAUAGAUGGAUGGAGACACCGGUGUGUCGUAACGAUGUGCCGCCUCGAACGAUCAAUUCACUUACCGCUUACCGUGCUUAGAUUCAUGUGCCUUGCCGCGAUUUUCCAUUCGUCCUCCACUAUUUCACUCUUCUUGCGCCUCCUCGGAAGUUCGAUCGUACCAACUGUCUUACCUUCUCGUAAUUGUUC